GUGAAAAGCACCCCGGAAGGGGAGCGAAACAGUUCCUGAAACCGUGUGCCCACAAGUAGUUAGAGCCCGUUAAUGGGUGAUAGCGUGCCUUUUGUAGAAUGAACCGGCGCGUUACGAUUUGUUGCAAGGUUAAGCGGAAAAAGCGGAGCCGUAGCGAAAGCGAGUCUGACUAGGGCGCAUAAGUAACAGGUCGUAGACCCGAAACCAGGCGAUCUACCCAUGUCCAGGAUGAAGGUAAGGUAAUACUUACUGGAGGUCCGAACCCACGCACGUUGAAAAGCGCGGGGAUGCGGUGUGGGUAGCGGAGAAAUUCCAAUCGAACUUGGAGAUAGCUGGUUCUCUCCGAAAUAGCUUU
rnacentral:rRNA from 1 species